CACUGACUGUCUUGUUAGAUUAACCCAAUAAAUUUCAUUCACUCUGCAUACUCAAUCCUAUAGACACCCUUUUAAUCCUUCAAUCACAGACGUAACUCGAUUUCACAAAAUAGUCAAGAGUAUUCAAAUCCACUUCAUUAAAAAUCCCGAUUCACCAUUACAAUACUGACUUCAGCAGCGAUUGCCUCAGUCUUCCCAAAACUCUACGAAGAAGAAAAAUCCAAAUUC
rnacentral:lncRNA from 1 species